GACGAACGCUGGCGGCGUGCUUAACACAUGCAAGUCGAACGGAAAGGCCCUGCUUUUGUGGGGUGCUCGAGUGGCGAACGGGUGAGUAACACGUGAGUAACCUGCCCUUGACUUUGGGAUAACUUCAGGAAACUGGGGCUAAUACCGGAUAGGAGCUCCUGCUGCAUGGUGGGGGUUGGAAAGUUUCGGCGGUUGGGGAUGGACUCGCGGCUUAUCAGCUUGUUGGUGGGGUAGUGGCUUACCAAGGCUUUGACGGGUAGCCGGCCUGAGAGGGUGACCGGCGACAUUGGGACUGAGAUACGGCCCAGACUCCUACGGGAGGCAGAAGUGGGGAAUAUGGCACAAUGGGCGGAAGCCUGAUGCAGCAACGCCGCGUGCGGGAUGACGGCCUUCGGGUUGUGAACCGCUUUCGCCUGUGACGAAGCGUGAGUGACGGUAAUGGGUAAAGAAGCACCGGCUAACUACGUG
rnacentral:rRNA from 1 species